UUGUGAAGGUCGGAGCGACUUGGAAAGUGGUUCCGUCUGGACUAAUUUGGGUCCUGCGGAUCGAUUGGUGCCAUCCCCGAGCUUCUCCGACCUUCGGAAGGUGUUGAACGAGGAAAUCCCCCGAAAUCUGAGGAGAUAUUCUUGAAUAACUUUUGUUGUGAAGGUCGGAGCGACUUGCAAGUAGGCUCUACCCCCACUAAUUUGGGCAUUGCGCAUCGAUUGGUACCAUCCCAGAGCUUGUAGGACCUUCGGAAGGGCAAAUGGCCAAAGUGGGCGUGGUGAAGGC
rnacentral:misc_RNA from 1 species